UAUUGUUUAGCAGCUGGUAGUUAACCAUCUGCAGGUCCGCCAUAUUAACUCUUGUUUUUAAAAUUUAAAUAAAUCGAAAUAACUGGAAUAUAUGCCAACUGCUAUUUAUAUAACAUAUGAUUUCCAUUUGAGUAUUCAACUUAUGUUAAAUAGUGAAAGGUUGUAGAUUUCAAACUUUUGUAAUAUAAAUGUUAUUUGACCUUAAAUAUUUGUUUAUUGUGAACAAAAUUAAAAAAUGUUUAAAGUGUAAAAAAAUAUACGGGUGUGCUAGACUUCACGUACAUUUUAAGUUAUACCAGAAUUUAGCGCUAACCGAAUGUUGUGGCACCCUUCAUAAGUAAUAUAAACCAAAUUUAAUUAGAAAUGUUGAAUUAUUUACUGAAUUGCCAAUGUUUGUAGCUGUGUAAAAAUUUACAAUACAAUUUAGGAAGUACGUUUUACAUACAAUGUAUGUACAUACAUUAGUCGUUGAUUAUGUAUGAUUACUUGCAGAGACUGACAAGAAACUACAUAGAAUCUUACGUUCAUUUGUAUAAACUCUAUUGUUUAAUUGUAUUUCUUAUUUCGUUUGACUAAUGCAUGUUUUACUGAUUAAAUAACGUACAAUUCAUACACACAUAUGUAUGUACAUAUGUUUGAAAUGGCAUGGAGCUGUGAAUGUGCAUACGUAUUUUGCAUAUUUAUGUAUGUAAAAAUACAAUGCCGGAAAGAGGUCUAAGUUCGACCCUUAUUUAGGUUACUUAUGAUUAUGAUUUUUUAAAUUUAUAAUUUUAUUAUAAAAUGUGCUAAGCUCGUGUCCAAAAUAAAAUGAUUGGGAACUAAAGAUGAGUAUGCUAAACUCGUACUCCAAAAGUUAAAAAAAUAUUUUUUUAUUUGAUAUGGGUUACACUAAUAGUAACAAUAUUCAUUUAGCUAAAGUUCUAUAAAAAAUAACUAUCAUAGUUGAUAACUGGCAAAAAAAAAUUGUUUGACGAACACUGCAUAACAUUUUGGUUCGGUUACUUUAGGAAUACCGUUAGAAUGGAGAUAUUAUACAUACAUAUGUACAGUGACGAACUUAAGUGUUGGCACACUUAGCAUCUUGAACUUCAAGUGCGCUUUUCUACCUUUAUAAAUGUGUUAUAAAAUUCAACAAAAUUAUUUUGUAUAAGAGGAAUAUUUAACCAUCAACUUAAUUUUGUUUCAAUUAAUUGUCUCUUAAAACUAAAUUUUUUAAAUUAAAAACCAAAGAAUUAGCAGAUUUAGCUGUGCAAAAGACUUGGCACACUUGUGCUUUUUUUAACUAUUUCGUUAAAACUUAACCGAUUUGGUUGCUUUUUGUUGCCUAAUCCGCUUAUAUCUUAAGUGGUAUAAUGCUAAAUUGGUAUCAUAAAAUCGAUAAGUACCUUAAAUUACAUUAAAAAUGGUUAUAAAUAAAAAAAUUCCUGUCUCUUGGAAAAAUAAUAUUUUAUUUUCAGGAUCAGGGUCAGUUGUAUACUAACAUGAAUAAUAAAUAGGAUAAUAACAACCCUCAGAUCUACUCAGUUACAACAACGUUCAGACUGUCAAAAACAUUGCACUCCCAAAGCAAACCGUCGGUAUGGAUGAAGGCAAAUGGAACGACCCAAUAGCGUCAAAGUGCAUGUUAGGAUGGACUAUCCAGGGAUCAGCCAACUUAAACCGUCACGUAACUAUGCACCACUGCGAUUGCAACUGGCGAGAGCUUCACGAUGAAGUCAAAGAACAAUUCAACCUAGAGUCGAUUUCGCCUAAAAAACUGCUUUCAAGCGAGGACAAACGAGCAGUCGAAGUCCUAGAGCAGACUUGCCAAAUCAAAUGUGGCAAAUACGAAGUUGGUCUUCUUCGGCGGAAUGAUCUUCAAAAACUUCCCGAGAGUCGCACUAGAGCUCUAAAGCGCCUACAAUGCAUGAGAACCAGAAUUCUGAGCGAACCGGAUCUGUUUACAAAAAUCGACGACCAAAUCAAAAAUCUUUUUGCCAAAGGAUACCCCAAGCAACUAUCUGACGAGGAGGCGAAGAAAGAAGAAACUCGCUCUUGGUACUUUCCCAAAUUUAUAGUCCUAAAUCCGAAUAAGCCUGGAAAGAUAAGGCUGGUUUGGGAUGCAGUAGUAGAAACAAACGUAGUAUGCCUCAACGACUUUCUGUUAAGCGGGCCGGACUGCUUAAACUCACUCAUCAACGUUCUCCCAGCCUUCAGAGUCGGAACAGUCGCCGUAAGCGGCGACAUCGCCGAAAUGUUUCACAGGAUCAACAUAAGCCACGAAGACAUGCAUUCUCAGCGCUUUCUUUGGUAUGAUGUCAACCGAAAUAAGAUAAACACUUACGUCAUGCGUGCCAUGACCCUUGGUAUCAGUUGUGCACCAUUCAUAGGCCACUACGUGCGCGACAAAAAGUCCGUCAGGUUCUCAUGUCGAUUUUCGACCCCGAUUGGCGGCGCCUAUACAGAGCCGUCACAAACAUAUCUCUAUAUAUCCAGCGACUUCAAACUAAAUGCCAAUGGACAGACAUGCCGUCAGCAGUGACCGAAUUUCACGUCACAGAAGCGCAGACCCUACUAUACAAAGAAGCACAGAGGCUCGAGUUCACGGAUGAAAUCAUUCAUUGAUAAGUAAAUGGUGGUGAUGGACGAUAACGGAAUCGUUCGCACUAAAGGUCGAGUGAACGCAGUCGGAUAUACCAUGGACGCUAUAAUAUUGCCACCAGAGAGCCGAGUAACAUUCUUAUUAGUCCGGUUCUAUCACGAAAAAUAUCAUUACCUCGCUCACGAAACCGAAUGAUAUAAAAUCCAAAUUUUAUAUUCUGCGCCUAAGAGUACUGCACAAAUCCGUAAGAAAAGCCAGUUGUAUAAAAAAAGUUUCACGAAUUUCGUGGGACACCAAGAGAAAUUUAUUCCGAUAAUGGUACUAAUUUCAAGGCCACGGAGAAGACGUUACGAGAGGAGCUGAUCAAGAUCGACUUCGAUAAAAUUGCAAUCAAGUUCGACGGCAUUAAAUGGCAAUUUAACCCUCCAGGAGCCCCUGACAUGGGCGGUGCUUGGAAAAGAUUAGUCCGCACAACCAAAACAGUCCUAAAAAGCAUCUGCCCGAAUUAUUCAUUCAACGACGAAAGCCUGAGGUGUGCUCUAAUGGAAGCACGGUUAAUCAUAAACUCACGUCCGUUAACUUUCGUUAGCCUGGACUCCGAGGACGACUCCGCGCUGACUCCAAACCACCUGCUAAUGGGUUCAUCGAAUGGGUACAAGCCAAUCAAGGAAAAGAAGAUGAAUUUAAGACGUCAUUGGAACGAUAUAAAACUUUUUGGAGAUCACUUUUGGCAACGCUGGGUGAAGGAGCUUACACCGGUACUUACUAGACGAACAAAAUGGUUCGAAAGAUGUCCCCCUAUAUCAGUCGGAAGCGUAGUCAUUAUCGUCGACGAAAACUUACCUAGAAAUGUAUGGCUUAAGGGCCGCGUGACCAACACUAUCCCCGCCAAGGACGAACAAGUUCGUCGAGCCACUAUUAAAACGCAGCAUGGGGUCCUCGAUCGACCAGCCACCAUGAUUGCGGUAUUAGAUGUCGGCUUAGAAGAUGAACCAUCCCUAGAACCGGGAGAAGCAAAAGAAGAGAAAAAAAGACAAAGUUUUUAAGCGUGCUCCGCAACGCCAAAUGUAAUACACAUUGAUUCGGAAGCUGAAAUUGAAAUAAAGUUUAUUUCAAAAACGUAGUUUACCGCUAUCCGUCUGUGCCUUCAAUUUGGUAGUGUGGGCUGCUGUAAAACCAAUUCAGUUUCGCUCUCGACAAUAAUAUUGUCAUAUUAAAGGGUAUUUGGUAUCGAGUGUAUUUGGUAUCGCUAAUCUGAGGCACUGUUGUUGUAGAUGAAAGUGUCCAUGAAAUUUUGUUUAAUUUUGUAGACGAUAAGCAAUGCAAAAUGGUGAAAUAAUGGAAGACAAAUUCUCAAUAAAGGUUUUAAUGUUUUACUUUCA